rnacentral:rRNA from 1 species
GAAUUUUGGACAAUGGGGGCAACCCUGAUCCAGCCACCCCGCGUGUGCGAUUAAGGCCUUCGGGUUGUAAAGCACUUUUGGCCGGGGAGAAACGGCGCUGUCUAAUACCUGGAGCUGCCGACGGUCCCUGCAGAAUAAGCAACGGCUAAAUACGUGCCACCAGCCGCGGUAAGACGUAGGGUGCAAGCGUUAAUCGGAAUUACGGGGCGUAAGGCGUGCGCAGGCGGUUCGGCAAUAAGGAUGGGAAAUCCCAGGGCUUAACCUUGGAACUGCAUGCUUAACUGCCGGGCUAGAGUAUGUCAGAGGGGGGUAGAAUUCCGCGUGUAGCAGUGAAAUGCGUAGAGAUGCGGAGGAAUACCGAUGGCGAAGGCAGCCCCCUGGGAUAAUACUGACGCUCAUGCACGAAAGCGUGGGGAGCAAAC